rnacentral:lncRNA from 1 species
CCAUGUGUAAAAACUAAUGAUAUCUCGAGAAAGAGAAGAGAUAGGGUGAGGAGGAGUGUAAAAACCCAUGCGGCCACCAUGCCAGAUUGUUCCAGAGGUUUCCUUUUUUAAUUGCUCAACAAUGAGGUUGUGGGAGAUAAGGAUGAACAAGGGAAGGCCUUAUCUGCAAAUGUGGAGAGAGGUGCAGGUAUAUUUUUGCAAAAUUGCCAUAGUUUUCUUUCUAUCCGUCAAAUAUAGAUCAAACGGUCUAUCUUGCAAGAUGGCAGGCACACCAUCAUCACCAACUCGGUUUUUUAUAAGAGUAGAGAAACAAUGAGGUUGUGGAAGAUAAGGAUGAACAAGGGAAGGCCUUAUCUGCAAAUGUGGAGAGAGGUGCGGGUAUCUUUUUGCAAAAUUGCCAUAGUUUGCUUUCUAUCCGUCAGAUAUAGAUCAAACGGUCUAUCUUGCAAGAUGGCAGGCACACCAUCAUCACCAACUCGG